UUACGGCCAUAUGACGUUUGAAACACCGGUUCUCGUACGAUUAUCGAAGUUAAGUAGCAUCAAGCCUGGUUAGUAGCUAGAUUGAUGAGCGCUUUGGAAUACUAGGUGCUGUAA